rnacentral:piRNA from 1 species
UCCCCUGUCCUAGACAACUGCUUCC